GCAUUAAUGGGGUAGUGGUAACCUGGGUCGUUGCCAUGAGGCAUCUCUGCGAUCGUCGACCCGCCGGGAGUUCGAUUCUCUCUUAAUGCA